rnacentral:rRNA from 1 species
GACGAACGCUGGCGGUGUGCUUAACACAUGCAAGUCGAACGGUAAGGCCCUUUCGGGGGUACACGAGUGGCGAACGGGUGAGUAACACGUGAGUAACCUGCCCUCAUCUCUGGGAUAACAGUCGGAAACGGUUGCUAAUACUGGAUAUGAGCUUGCAAGGCAUCUUGUGGGUUGGAAAGAUUUUUUUGGUUGGGGAUGGACUCGCGGCCUUUCAGCUUGUUGGUGAGGUAGUGGCUCACCAAGGCUUCGACGGGUAGCCGGCCUGAGAGGGCGACCGGCCACAUUGGGACUGAGAUACGGCCCAAACUCCUACGGGAGGCAGCAGUGGGGAAUAUUGCACAAUGGACGGAAGUCUGAUGCAGCAACGCCGCGUGCGGGAUGACGGCCUUCGGGUUGUAAACCGCUUUCAAUUGUGACGAAGCUUUUUGUGACGGUAGCAGUAGAAGAAGCACCGGCUAACUACGUG